rnacentral:miRNA from 1 species
AUCCGAAUGAUCUCGGACCAGGCU